CCCGGACAAAAUUCCCCAAGCACUUUCCAAUUGUUUGUGCAGUUCAAGUCUGCAGACAUUUGCUCAUCUCCCGUCAGAACAGGAUCUGCACACGUGUUGACAUUUUCCAUCUGUUGCCCUCAUUGUUUUCCUUACUAAUAAUAACUUUGGAAAUGUGUGCGUUUCUAUCAAAUGGCGCAGCGGUCAAAGGCACUGCACAUCAGUGCUAGAGACGUCACUACAGACUCCCUGGUUCAAAUCCAGGCUGUAUCACAACUGGCUGUGAUUGGGAGUCCCAUAGGGCAGCGCACAAUUGGCCCAGCGUUGUCCGAGUUUGGCCGGUGUAGGCCAUCAUAGGUAAAUAAUAAUUAGUUGUUAAAUAAAACAUAUGACCAUGGUUUGUUCAUGUGGUCUAUUCAGCAUGGCUCUGUUCUGCCCUGCCUUGCCCCCUUGUGGAGCUCAAAAGUUACUUUCUUACUGUUAGAACUCAAAUCUGGGAUUUUGUCAAUGCAAUAAACUAUUUUUAUGUUA